rnacentral:rRNA from 1 species
UGGGGAAUUUUGGACAAUGGGGGAAACCCUGAUCCAGCCAUCCCGCGUGUGCGAUGAAGGCCUUCGGGUUGUAAAGCACUUUUGGCAGGAAAGAAACGUCGCGGGUUAAUACCCCGCGAAACUGACGGUACCUGCAGAAUAAGCACCGGCUAACUACGUGCCAGCAGCCGCGGUAAUACGUAGGGUGCAAGCGUUAAUCGGAAUUACUGGGCGUAAAGCGUGCGCAGGCGGUUCGGAAAGAAAGAUGUGAAAUCCCAGAGCUUAACUUUGGAACUGCAUUUUUAACUACCGGGCUAGAGUGUGUCAGAGGGAGGUGGAAUUCCGCGUGUAGCAGUGAAAUGCGUAGAUAUGCGGAGGAACACCGAUGGCGAAGGCAGCCUCCUGGGAUAACACUGACGCUCAUGCACGAAAGCGUGGGGAGCAAACAGGAUUAGAUACCCUGGUAGUCCACGCCCUAAACGAUGUCAACUAGCUGUUGGGGCCUUCGGGCCUUGGUAGCGCAGCUAACGCGUGAAGUUGGCCGCCUGGGGAGUACGGUCGCAAGAUUAAAACUUAAAGGAAUUGACGGGGUCAUAG